GACGAACGUUGGCGGCGUGCUUAACACAUGCAAGUCGAACGGAAAGGCCCUGCUUUUGUGGGGUGCUCGAGUGGCGAACGGGUGAGUAACACGUGAGUAACCUGCCCUUGACUUUGGGAUAACUUCAGGAAACUGGGGCUAAUACCGGAUAGGAGCUCCUGCUGCAUGGUGGGGGUUGGAAAGUUUCGGCGGUUGGGGAUGGACUCGCGGCUUAUCAGCUUGUUGGUGGGGUAGUGGCUUACCAAGGCUUUGACGGGUAGCCGGCCUGAGAGGGUGACCGGCCACAUUGGGACUGAGAUACGGCCCAGACUCCUACGGGAGGCAGCAGUGGGGAAUAUUGCACAAUGGGCGGAAGCCUGAUGCAGCAACGCCGCGUGCGGGAUGACGGUCUUCGGGUUGUAAACCGCUUUCGCCUGUGACGAAGCGUGAGUGACGGUAAUGGGUAAAGAAGCACCGGCUAACUACGUG
rnacentral:rRNA from 1 species